rnacentral:rRNA from 1 species
UACGUAGGUGACAAGCGUUGUCCGGAUUUACUGGGCGUAAAGAGCGCGCAGGCGGUCGUUCAAGUCGAGUGUGAAAGCCCCCGGCUCAACUGGGGAGGGUCACUCGAUACUGAUCGACUCGAAGGCAGGAGAGGGUAGUGGAAUUCCCGGUGUAGUGGUGAAAUGCGUAGAUAUCGGGAGGAACACCAGUGGCGAAGGCGACUACCUGGACUGUUCUUGACGCUGAGGCGCGAAAGCUAGGGGAGCAAACGGG